rnacentral:rRNA from 1 species
GAUGAACGCUGACAGAAUGCUUAACACAUGCGAGUCUUUGGCGAAGCUGUGCUUGCACAGCCUAGCCAAGGCGGACGGGUGAGUAACGCGUAAGGAACUUGCCCUGCAGUCAGGGAUAACAGACGGAAACGACUGAUAAGACCUGGUAAAGUCAGGCGGACUCAUGUCCAGCCUGAUGAAAAGAGAUGCUGCAGGAGAGCCUUGCGUCCUAUUAGCUUGUUGGUGGGGUAACGGCCCACCAAGGCGAUGAUAGGUAGCCGGCCUGAGAGGGUGGACGGCCACAAGGGGACUGAGAUACGGCCCUUACUCCUACGGGAGGCAGCAGUGGGGAAUAUUGGACAAUGGGGGCAACCCUGAUCCAGCAAUUCUGUGUGCACGAUGAAGGUUUUCGGAUUGUAAAGUGCUAUCAGCAGGGAAGAAAAAAAUGACGGUACCUGCAGAAGAAGCGACGGCUAAAUACGUG